ACUUCUCAACCCCGCUUAUUUAGUUAUAAGUAGCUUGGGUUUGGAUCAUGGUUGCUGUCGAGUUGAAACAUACUUGACUCAGCUGAAAUGUAACAAGCUACAUCAAAGUACUUUGCGGCUCGAACUAUCGUUGUAGAACUUUCAAAUUCGAUAGUAACGCAAAAGAUGUUUGAAUAAGCUUUAAAUCAUGAAAAACACUGUUGAAAGUUCAUCACAGUGCAUU
rnacentral:misc_RNA from 1 species